rnacentral:rRNA from 1 species
GACGAACGCUGGCGGCGUGCUUAACACAUGCAAGUCGAACGCUGAAGCUCAGCUUUUGUUGGGUGGAUGAGUGGCGAACGGGUGAGUAACACGUGAGUAACCUGCCCCCUUCUUUGGGAUAACGCCCGGAAACGGGUGCUAAUACUGGAUAUUCACUGGUCUUCGCAUGGGGGUUGGUGGAAAGGGUUUUUCUGGUGGGGGAUGGGCUCGCGGCCUAUCAGCUUGUUGGUGGGGUGAUGGCCUACCAAGGCUUUGACGGGUAGCCGGCCUGAGAGGGUGACCGGUCACAUUGGGACUGAGAUACGGCCCAGACUCCGACGGGAGGCAGCAGUGGGGAAUAUUGCACAAUGGGCGCAAGCCUGAUGCAGCGACGCCGCGUGAGGGAUGGAGGCCUUCGGGUUGUGAACCUCUUUCGCUCAUGGUCAAGCCGCAACAAUGGUUGUGGUGAGGGUAGUGGGUAAAGAAGCGCCGGCUAACUACGUG